UUUAUUAAAAACAUGGCUUUUUGAUUUAUUUAUUUAAGGUCUGGCCUGCCCAAUGAAUUUUUAAAUGGCCGCGGUAUUUUGACCGUGCAAAGGUAGCAUAAUCAUUAGUUUUUUAAUUGAAAGCUGGAAUGAAAGGUUUGAUGAGAAAAUAACUGUCUCUAUUUAAACUAUUUAGAAAUUUAUUUUUAAGUAAAAAAGCUUAAAUAUUUAUAAAAGACGAGAAGACCCUAUAGAGUUUUAUAUUAUUUUUUUAUUAAAAUUUUAGUAUUUACAUUUUUAAUGUAUUUGGUAGUAUUUAGUUGGGGUGAUUGAAAAAUUUAAUAAACUUUUUUUAAUUAAUUUUACAUUAAUUUAUGAUUAUUUGAUCCUUAUGUAUAGAUUAAAAGAUUAAAUUACCUUAGGGAUAACAGCGUAAUUUUUUUUGAGAGUUCUAAUCGAAAAAAGAGAUUGCGACCUCGAUGUUGGAUUAAAAUUAAUUUUUGGUGUAGAAGCUAAAAAAUUAGGUCUGUUCGACCUUUAAAAUUUUACAUGAUCUGAGUUUAAACCGG
rnacentral:rRNA from 1 species